AAAAGGUGGCUAUGCUACCGCUUUUGGAUGGGCCCGCGGCGCAUUAGCUAGUUGGUGGGGUAAAGGCUUACCAAGGCAAUGAUGCGUAGCCGAACUGAGAGGUUGAUCGGCCACAUUGGGACUGAGACACGGCCCAAACUCCUACGGGAGGCAGCAGUAGGGAAUCUUCCACAAUGGGCGAAAGCCUGAUGGAGCAACGCCGCGUGGGUGAAGAAGGUCUUCGGAUCGUAAAACCCUGUUGUUAGAGAAGAAAGUGCGUGAGAGUAACUGUUCACGUUUCGACGGUAUCUAACCAGAAAGCCACGGCUAACUACGUGCCAGCAGCCGCGGUAAUACGUAGGUGGCAAGCGUUAUCCGGAUUUAUUGGGCGUAAAGGGAACGCAGGCGGUCUUUUAAGUCUGAUGUGAAAGCCUUCGGCUUAACCGGAGUAGUGCAUUGGAAACUGGGAGACUUGAGUGCAGAAGAGGAGAGUGGAACUCCAUGUGUAGCGGUGAAAUGCGUAGAUAUAUGGAAGAACACCAGUGGCGAAAGCGGCUCUCUGGUCUGUAACUGACGCUGAGGUUCGAAAGCGUGGGUAGCAAACAGGAUUAGAUACCCUGGUAGUCCACGCCGUA
rnacentral:rRNA from 1 species